AGGGAUUACUUCCAAGUAUAGU
rnacentral:miRNA from 1 species